rnacentral:rRNA from 1 species
UUUUUAUUUAUUUUUAGGUAAAUUAAAUUGGUUUGAAAAUAAAUUUUAUUGGGGUGAUAAAAAAAUUUAGUUAACUUUUUUAAUUAAUUUAUUAUUGAUAAAUAUUUAUAAUUUAAAAUAGUAAUAAUAUUAUUAAGAAAAA